rnacentral:lncRNA from 1 species
GGCGACCGUCUCCUGGAAUGCCGAAGUCGUGACUAGACUCAGUUGCCCGGUGCGCAGAGCCAGAAGUAGGCAUGUGACACAGUUCUUGCCAAGGAGACACCAGCUGGAAUCCCCGAAUGUGAGUGUGAUGUCUGGAGCUUCAGCAGCCAUAUUUUGACCACGAGCCAAAUUUGAGGAUGACAGCCAUGCACUCAGAAUGAUGGACUAGAAAAAUAAAAAGAGCCUGGACCUCUUCUCCAAGACAAUGCUGUGGAGCUGCCAUACCAGCUCUGGAGUGCCUGCUUUUGGACUUCUUGUUAUCA